CAAACCCAUAGCCUCCUCCUAUUCCAUGAUUCGGGAGGCUGGGACCCUUCCCCAGAAGCUACCCCUGGACAGCUAUCCAGCUGUGAAUUCUGGGCUCACCUCUUAACUCGUGGGGGCCUGGAGCAAGCUGGUUCC